ensembl:lncRNA
AUGGAUUGUUUGUGUCUUAUUCAGUGGGCACAGUUCUGCCUUUUAAUCCGAGUAUCAAUGAAAGAUACAUGUGGAUAUCUAAUAAUAAUUUACAGGUGUGUGUCUAAUAAUAGACUCAGGAUAAUUUCAGUGUAGCAGUGUAAUAAUCAGUGUAGCAGUAUCUUUGGGGAAAAGCAUUUUUUUUUUUCAUGAAUGUUCACAGGUAGAUAUUCUGCAGAUAAUUUCUUUUUUUAUUAACAUGCAGCUUUAGGCAACAGAAUACUAAGUUGUAUUUAAAUGUGAGACAUUAAUCACAAACUUUCCACCUAAUCACCAUCUCAGUCAAGUCUCAUUCAAAUCUUCUGACAGUAAACUUUUGUGUAUUACGUAUAUUGUCUUAUCUCACACAACAGGUUUUCCCAGUGGCUCUCACUAGAAGGAAGUUUGCUGUUAUACAUGUGAUAAUAAAUUAUUGCUUAUCUAAUGUCAGCAUUUGAGGAACAACCACACAGAGUCUAUUGACAACUUACUUCUAAUUUUUACAUAAGGAUUUUCUGCAGUUUUUAUAGUACUUGAACAUGACCUGCUUUUUGUAAAUGUGGUUACCAUUAAAUGUGUAUUAUAAACUAUUAAUAUUCUCAAGACUUACUGAACUUAGCAUCAGGACUUUUUUUUCUCUGAAUUUCCAUUGUGGUAUUUCAAGUAUUCAUUCCAAUCUAAAGCAAGGAAGAUUUUUUGGAUGCUUAUAUUCAUUCCCAAAGAUAGAAUGGGCUGGUUACUAACUUGUUUCCCUAGAAGGAAACUCACCUUCCUUAUCUAAAAAAGUCAUAAAACACUUUAUCUUUUGUUUGCGGAAAGAUUCAGGUAUUUAGUGACAGGUAAUCAUGAGCAAAUUAUUUACUAACUGCAACAGAGCAAUAGAACAAUGAAAGUCUUUCAAGGGCAGGUUAAAAUUAACAUAAAUAAAUACAAUUUUAAUAGACACUAUUUAGACCAAACACUUGGCUUAUUGUACAUCAGAUCAAUGCCCUUUUGGUGACAAGCCUGUCAACUUAUUAGGAUGUGUUUAAAUCCUGAUUGAUGUAUCAACACAACACACUUCUGUGUGCACUGUGAGAAUCGCAAAGAGGCA